AGGUUUUGUGGUCAAACCACGGGGUUGAAGAGGCGACUUGGGAAAAAGAGAUCGACAUGAGAGAGCGUUAUCCUAACCUUUUUGAAUCAAAUGAAGAUGGAGCUUGAUCUUAUCACUUCUUAAGCCAAUAAUCAUCAACUUUUGAAAAGUCAAGUAUUAUCUUUUGGAGCUUGGAUAUCAUUUUCUUUUGGGUAAUUGAAGAUCUACUUCUUUGAAGCUUGGAACCUUGAAGACUUUCUCUUUUGGAGCUUAUUUCCUUAAGUUCUUAUUAUCCUAUUAUUAUUCUCUUACUUGGUUUAGCACCACCUUCGGAGGAAAAUGUAUUUUGCAGGAAAAAUUAGCUCAGGUUUCGAUCCAGGCCGCAACUUUAAUUAUUCUAUCGAGGACUUAGCUUCAAUGAUUUUACUUGAUGACUAUAUUGUACUUAUGUUUUUUUAUCGUAUUUAAGUAAACCUUAUUUUAUAUUUUCUCAGUUGUAAGAUAUAUUUUUACUUAUGUUUUGAACAUUUUUUUAUUUCAAAUGGUUUUUAGCAGUUCGGCGUUUUACACUUCCGCAUUAUUUAUCUUAAGUAUAAUUAUUAAUGUUAAUUAUGUAACGAGAGU